GGAUGCGAUCAUACCAGCACUAAAGCACCGGAUCCCAUCAGAACUCCGAAGUUAAGCGUGCUUGGGCGAGAGUAGUACUAGGGGAAGUCCUCGUGUUGCAUUCC
rnacentral:rRNA from 1 species